GGGUAAGUAAAUCCUUACCAUCAUCCAGGAGGCGCAAGGCAUGAACAAAGGAAGGGUCCAAACUGUCUUUCUCUGCCAUCAGCUCCGGGUUGGACUGGGCUGACGAGACAACAGGAAAAAACACGGUGAGCCACGUCAGUCCAGACUUGAUCCACACAGCCUGCCCUCCAAAAAACUCCACCCCCGUCUGAUGCACACCGAUACGUUAUGGCAGGGGGCCCUGAUGUGACAGCCCCGGUGGGUCCAGACCCCUCCCCCCAGUCCGACACUGUUCAUCACAGUCUUGUCUCCAUUGCAGAGCUGUGGCUCCCAGGAUGCCCCCUAGGUUUAGGGUGCUGCUCAAUUUUUAGUAACUUAAGAAAAGGUUUUUUUAAUGGUAGUCAAUAAACAGUUCGGUUUGAUAUCCUUA